ensembl:lncRNA
UCUACAUUGUAGAAUAAUAGUGAAAACAUCAACACUAUGAAAUAACACAUAUGGAAUAAUGUAUUAACCAAAAAAGUGUUAAAUAAAUCCAAAUAGAUUUUAUAUUUGAGAUUCUUCAAAGUUGCCUUGAUGACAGCUUUGCACACUCUUGGCAUUCUCUCAACCAGCUUCCUGAGGUAGUCACCUGUAAUGGAUUUCAAUUAACUGGUGUGCCUUGUUAAAAGUUAAUUUGUGGAAUUUCUUUCCUUCUUAAUGCGUUUGAGACAAAUCAGUUGUGUUGUGACAAGGUAGGGGUGGUAUACAGAAUAUAGCCCUAUUUGGUAAAAGACCAAGUCCAUAUUAUGGCAAGAACAGCUUAAAUAAGCAAAGAGAAAUGACAGUCCAUCAUUACUUUAAGACAUGAAGGUCAGUCAGUCUGGAAAAUUUAAAGAACUUUGAAAGUUUCUUCAAAUGCAGUCGCACCAUCAAACGCUGUGAUGAAACUGGCUCUCAUGAGGACCGCCACAGGAAAGGAAGACCCAGAGUUACCUCUGCUGCAGAGGAUAAGUUAAUUAAAGUUAAUCACCAUCCUCAGAAAUUAUAGCCCAAAUAAAUGCUUCACAGAGUUCAAGUAACAGACACAUCUCAACAUCAACUGUUCAGAGGAGACUGUGUGAAUAAGGCCAUCAUGGUUGAAUUGCUGCAAAGAAACCACUACUAAAGGACACCAAUAAUAAGAAGAGACUUGCUUGGGCCAAGAAACACAGGUAAUGGACAUUAGACUGGUGGAAAUCUGUCCUUUGGUCUGAUGAGUCCAAAUUUGAGAUUUGUGGCUCCAACCGCCGUGUCUGUGAGAUGCAGAGUAGGUGAACAGAUGAUCUUCGCAUGUGUGGUUCCCACCAUGAAGCAUGGAAGAGGAGUGCUGCAUCCGAUGACCUGGACUCCACAAUCACCCGACCUCAACCCAAUUGAGAUAGAUUGGGAUGAGUUGGGCCGCAGAGCAAAGAAAAAGGCGCCAACAAGUGCUCAGCAUAUGGGAUAACUCCUUGAAGACGGUUGGAAAAGCAUUCCAAGUGAAGCUAGUUGAGAGAAUUCCAAGAGUGUGUAAAGCUGUCAUCAAGGCAAAGGGUGGCUACCUUGAAGAAUCUCAAAUAUAAAAUAUAUUUUGAUUUUUUUAACACUUUUGGUUAAUAAAUGAUUCCAUGUGUGUUAUUUCAUAGUGUUGAUGUC